rnacentral:rRNA from 1 species
GACGAACGCUGGCGGCGUGCUUAACACAUGCAAGUUGAACGGGGAUAACGAUUUCGGUUGUUAUCCUAGUAGCGGACGGGUGAGUAACGCGUGAGCAACCAACCUUUGUGAGGGGGACAACAGCUGGAAACGGCUGCUAAUACCGCAUGAGACCACGGAUCCGCAUGGAUCUGAGGUAAAAGAAAUUCGCACAAAGACGGGCUCGCGUCCCAUUAGCUAGUUGGUGAGGUAACGGCUCACCAAGGCAACGAUGGGUAGCCGACCUGAGAGGGUGAUCGGCCACACUGGAACUGAGACACGGUCCAGACUCCUACGGGAGGCUG